rnacentral:rRNA from 1 species
GGCGUGCCUAAUACAUGCAAGUCGAGCGAACAGAUGAGAAGCUUGCUUCUCUGAUGUUAGCGGCGGACGGGUGAGUAACACGUGGGUAACCUACCUAUAAGACUGGGAUAACUCCGGGAAACCGGGGCUAAUACCGGAUAAUAUUUUGAACCGCAUGGCUCAAUAGUGAAAGACGGUUUCGGCUGUCACUUAUAGAUGGACCCGCGCCGUAUUAGCUAGUUGGUAAGGUAAUGGCUACCAAGGCGACGAUACGUAGCCGACCUGAGAGGGUGAUCGGCCACACUGGAACUGAGACACGGUCCAGACUCCUACGGGAGGCAGCAGUGGGGAAUCUUCCGCAAUGGGCGAAAGCCUGACGGAGCAACGCCGCGUGAGUGAUGAAGGUCUUCGGAUCGUAAAACUCUGUUGUUAGGGAAGAACAAAUUUGUUAGUAACUGAACAAGUCCUGACGGUACCUAACCAGAAAGCCACGGCUAACUACGUGCCAGCAGCCGCGGUAAUACGUAGGUGGCAAGCGUUAUCCGGAAUUAUUGGGCGUAAAGCGCGCGUAGGCGGUUUCUUAAGUCUGAUGUGAAAGCCCACGGCUCAACCGUGGAGGGUCAUUGGAAACUGGGAAACUUGAGUGCAGAAGAGGAGAGUGGAAUUCCAUGUGUAGCGGUGAAAUGCGCAGAGAUAUGGAGGAACACCAGUGGCGAAGGCGGCUCUCUGGUCUGUAACUGACGCUGAUGUGCGAAAGCGUGGGGAUCAAACAGGAUUAGAUACCCUGGUAGUCCACGCCGUAAACGAUGAGUGCUAAGUGUUAGGGGGUCUCCGCCCCUUAGUGCUGCAGCUAACGCAUUAAGCACUCCGCCUGGGGAGUACGACCGCAAGGUUGAAACUCAAAUGAAUUGACGG